GACGAACGCUGGCGGCGUGCCUAAUACAUGCAAGUAGAACGCACAGUUUAUACCGUAGCUUGCUACACCAUAGACUGUGAGUUGCGAACGGGUGAGUAACGCGUAGGUAACCUGCCUGGUAGCGGGGGAUAACUAUUGGAAACGAUAGCUAAUACCGCAUAAUAUUGAUUAUUGCAUGAUAAUUGAUUGAAAGAUGCUAUUGCAUCACUACCAGAUGGACCUGCGUUGUAUUAGCUAGUAGGUGAGGUAACGGCUCACCUAGGCGACGAUACAUAGCCGACCUGAGAGGGUGAUCGGCCACCCUGGGACUGAGACACGGCCCAGACUCCUACGGGAGGCAGCAGUAGGGAAUCUUCGGCAAGGGACGAAAGUCUGACCGGGGAACGCCGCGUGGGUGAAGAAGGUUUUCGGAUCGUAAAGCUCUGUUGUAAGAGAAGAACGGGUGUGAGAGUGGAAAGUUCACACUGUGACGGUAUCUUACCAGAAAGGGACGGCUAACUACGUG
rnacentral:rRNA from 1 species